rnacentral:rRNA from 1 species
UACGUAGGGUGCAAGCGUUGUCCGGAAUUAUUGGGCGUAAAGAGCUCGUAGGCGGUUUGUCGCGUCUGCUGUGAAAACUCAGGGCUUAACCCUGAGCCUGCAGUGGGUACGGGCAGACUAGAGUGUGGUAGGGGAGAUCGGAAUUCCUGGUGUAGCGGUGGAAUGCGCAGAUAUCAGGAGGAACACCGGUGGCGAAGGCGGCGACCUGGGUAGAUACUGACGCUGAGGUGCGAAAGCGUGGGGAGCAAACAGG